rnacentral:rRNA from 1 species
GGAGCUGUUAUCAGGCACGCCUAAAACAACUAGCCUCGCCACACCCACAAGGGUCUUCAGCAGUGAUUAAUCUUAAGCAUUAACGAAAGUUAGACUUAGUCAGGGUUAACAGAGCCGGCCAAUGUGGUGCCAGCCGCCGCGGUUAUACCAUGGACUCAAAUUGACCCGGCGUAAAGCGUGACUAAAGUAAAAUCAAGCUCAAACUAAGCUGUGAAAACCUUGUUCUGAGCAAGCCCAAAGACGAAAGUUAUUUUAGUUACCCUUGACUCACGACAGUUGGGGGACAAACUGGGAUUAGAUACCCCACUAUGCCCAACCGUAAACUAUCAUUUACACCGCCAGAGAACUACGAGCCAAGCUUAAAACUCAAGGGACUUGUCGGUAUCCCACCCCUCUAGAGGAGCCUGUCCUAUAAUCGAUAAUCCCCGCUAAACCUCACCCCUUCUAGCAGCCUGUAUACUUCCGUCGCUAGCCAACCACGUGAGCGAGUCGGUCUCCCGCAUAAACGUCAGGUCAAGGUGCAGCAAAUGAAGGGGGAAGAGAUGGGCUACAUUCUCUAACUUAGAGCACACGGAAAGCCACUGUGAAAUGGAAGGCGGAUUUAGAAGUAAAGCGGGAAUAGAGUGCCCUCUUUAACUCGGACCUGGGAUGCGAACACACCGCCCGUCACCCUUCUC